ACGAACGCUGGCGGCGUGCUUAACACCUGCAAGUCGAACGCAGAGCGAUGGAAGCUUGCUUCUAUCAAUCUUAGUGGCGAACGGGUGAGUAACGCGUAAUCAACCUGCCCUUCAGAGGGGGACAACAGUUGGAAACGACUGCUAAUACCGCAUACGAUCUAAUCUCGGCAUCGAGGAUAGAUGAAAGGUGGCCUCUACAUGUAAGCUAUCACUGAAGGAGGGGAUUGCGUCUGAUUAGCUAGUUGGAGGGGUAACGGCCCACCAAGGCGAUGAUCGGUAGCCGGUCUGAGAGGAUGAACGGCCACAUUGGGACUGAGACACGGCCCAGACUCCUACGGGAGGCAGCAGUGGGGAAUCUUCCGCAAUGGACGAAAGUCUGACGGAGCAACGCCGCGUGAGUGAUGACGGCCUUCGGGUUGUAAAGCUCUGUUAAUCGGGACGAAAGGCCUUCUUGCGAAUAGUGAGAAGGAUUGACGGUACCGGAAUAGAAAGCCACGGCUAACUACGUG
rnacentral:rRNA from 1 species